UGUCGCUGGGAUCCUCUCUGGUAAACUUGAUGUUGUUGUCCACUGAGUCCACAGAGUUGAUGUGUCUUGUGAAAGCUUCCACUUGAGCAAGAAAAUAAUUAUUAGGCAAUGAUGUAAAGCCUGGAACUCAACACUACUCCAGACAUUUGAUUUGAGAAAGCUUUCUGGAUGGGAAGUGAAACGUCUUCAAACUUUGGAAAAAAAUUCCAGUUGUUUUUUUUAUUUGGGGGGGAUUAUAUUCAGCACCAAUGUUCCUCCUAAUUCUUCAUGUCUCUGAGUAAACACACUAACUCCCUGAGUAUUCACCUUACCUCUGUGAGCAACAUCACAUGUGCACACUGAGGCUACAUUACACCUGUCCAACACCUGAGAUUAUAACAAGUUACAUGGUUUACUAAAGAAUCAAAAUACAGCAAUAAUCUCUUUUAGAUUACCUAGUUUAGAAACAAUUAAUUUAGCCCGAUCACAUAAAAAAGACAACAGUAGACUCUCACUAUUGGACUGUAAUGUAGCCAUGGGGAAUGGUGAAAGCAUUUCUGCUGGAAUGUCAGUCCUUUUUGUGAUACUUUGUGUUUCUAUACACUGAGGAUGUGGUUGGUAUGGCUUUGUCCAGUGAAGAAGAUCUGAACUAAAGCAUGCUGGAUCCCUUCCCUUCCAUUGCUGGCAGUAAGGUCAUCAUGGUCUGCUCCAUCCUCCUUCCCUGUGUCGGAUCUAUGAACAAGGAAACAUUUGUGACUCCAUGUCCCAGCAGGCUUUGCACCUGCCUUUCUGUUCUGUGUACAGGCUCCAGCAGUCUUAGCUCCUCCCACGCAGUAUAAAGAGAGUGGAGCUCAAACCAUGCUCUUCUUUAGCCGCUGAUUUCUGAGAGCACAUUCUGACUGCUUUUGAGACACUUACUGGCAAAUCCUCCUUCCCCACCUCACUGGAAGCCAUCAAUGCACGGUCUUGCAGUCUUUGGCUCUAUAAUUACUGCCAACACAACAUGGAUACCAGAUUGAAUGCUCCUGUAAGAAUGCUAACCUCUGAUCAAGAUUUCUUUCUCUGGACCCAGGACAUUGUGACAGUGGGGGCACGCUUUGAAGGUUGUGCUGUAAACAAAGAAAGACAAUCUUUCUAUUUCAAUCAGGUCUAACUGUGGCAGGAUACAAACAGCCUAAAAGCUUCCCAUACCUCCACCCUCACCAGACUUCAGCUCCUUGGCCUCCUGGAUUUGAGCAACAAGACUUUGGAGCCUUUGUGACGCAGCCGUUCUCCGCUCCUCCAAAACACUCCUUUGUUCUCUUGAAGAAGUCUGCCUACUUGUUGCAGGGCUUCUACUAUCUCCUCAUU